GCCAGCCGGCAUCUCCUGAUAACCACUAUCAUAGCAGCCCAGCCCGUCAGGAGUAGGAGCAACAACACCCACUCAUCCACCAGCAAAAAAGCCAUAGCCUACAAUUGACAAAACAAGACACUUCCCAUUCCAGACACAGAACAGGUGUUGAUUCCCCUUCUGACUGAAACUAUUUGAUGAAUCAAUGGAUCAACAAGAAAAUGAAAACACAGCUCUUAGCCAAGUCGCGGCUGGAGUCGCGCUUUCGCUGUUGGCUGCUUUUGUCGCCACCGUGUGGUGGUUCGACCGCCAGAGACGAACCAGCGAGAGUCCUACCAGACCGCGCAUAGAAGGGGACCGAUCAGUAUUCAAGGUGCCCCAGAGCCCGCCACCCAAGACACCAAAACCCUCCGUUUUUGAGCCAAUCUCAGAGCCUGAAGUCCAGGAAGCGGUGGGACAAUUUGAAGACACAGAGGAGGCAGAAGAGAACAUGGUUUCCUAGUUUAAAUGUAUUCCUGUUUUAUCUGUCCUGUAUUUUCUACAAAUAUUUUUUGAAGUUACAAAAGACAUUGUAUUGUAUUAAUUGUGGAACGCUUUUCUAUUAUUUCUUCCUCUUUACAUUUCCCUGUUACAGAAUCCUUUCAGAAAUAAUCUAGCCAAA